CGGCGGGAUUUUGGGAUGAGCUUUGGGAUCCCUUCCAGAGCCUUCCGUGGUCCCGCGGCUCGGCCUGCGGAGCUGUUACAACGCCAAGUCGCGGCCUCUCGCGCGUUUCGCCCCGUGGAACGGUGUCGUUCCCUGUGGAAUGGUGUCAACCCCCUUUGUGAGAGCUGCAAAUCCCCAGCUCGCUACAGGCCGGUUUUAAAAAUAACUGUUUCUCGUUAUAAAUUCUGCCCCCCCCCCGAAGUCGCUGGCUCUGAGUAACUAUUUCUCUCGGGACAGCGACCGAACCUCCCGGGAGAGGUUUCCUCGCUGCUCCAAAGGCAGCUCCCAUACGAUGGCAGCAGAGGCCCGCAGCUGCUUUAAGGGAAUUUUUGCCCGGAACUCCAUCAAAAGAAGAACUUUCCUCGGCAAAACCGAAGCAGAAAAAAACCUCAAAAAAUCACCCUCAUAUGUAAGGAUGUGGCAUGGUCUGAUUAAUCACCAAGAGCUGGGUUGCCAUGAUGAUGUAACCGUGACUGCAAUAUUUUGGCUGAAAAGGGGAAAAGGGGUUUUCUGUGUGUUCUGCUGGAGGUUUUGUCAGGGUUUUAAAAAAAGGUGACAAAAUCAAUUUUUAUUCCAGUCGAGGAAGGGGGAACCAAUGGAAUUGGGCUCGGGAAAAUUGCUGCCUGCCCUGACCUACUUGUUAAAAAGGAGAAAAAAAAAAAUAAAAGCAUCAAUUAAAAGACUCCGAGAUGAAAAGAAUUCCCACCCUGCUCCAGGGCUCCCGAGCACUAAUCCUGCCAACCAAGCAGUCCAAAAGGAAGGAGGUUUUUAUUUCAUAUCCAGACUCCUUAUUCCAUGCAGGAAGAGACUCCAAGGUCAACUCGGAGCCGGAGUUCAGGGACCAGGAAGGAGGGUUGGCCCUGAUGGGUCUGACCUGGGGCAUCCAAACUCUCCUCUUGGCAGCACUUGGGGGAUGGAAAAGCCAUUUUUCUCUUCCUUCCAGGCGCUGGCAACGUUCCCCAUUUCCAGAGGUUUUUUUUUUACGGGCUUCUCUUCCGCUGCUGCGGGGAAUAUUCAGGACAUCCUGGGGAAUAUUCA